GACGAACGCUGGCGGCGUGCUUAACACAUGCAAGUCGAACGAAGUGGCGAACGGGUGAGUAACGCGUAAUCAACCUGCCCUUCAGAGGGGGACAACAGUUGGAAACGACUGCUAAUACCGCAUACUGAAGGAGGGGAUUGCGGCUGAUUGGCUAGUUGGAGGGGUAACGGCCCACCAAGGCGAUGAUCAGUAGACGGUCUGAGGGGAUGAACCGCCACAUUUGGACUGAGACACGGCCCAGACUCCUACGGGAGGCAGCAGUGGGGAAUCUUCCGGAAUGGAAGAAAGUCUGACGGAGCAACGCCGCGGGAGGUAUGACGGCCUUCCGGUUGUAAAGCUCUGUUAAUCGGGACGCGGUACCGGAAUAGAAAGCCACGGCUAACUACGUGCCAGCCGCCGCGGUAAUUC
rnacentral:rRNA from 1 species